GUGUGCAACGGUUUCGGCGACUCGGUGCUUCCUCGUUACGCGAUGCGUCGAGGGAUCGUCGCGUUUCGCGAUUAUUUCUUCGUUCGACGUGUGUCCCGCGAGUGCCGGGAGUGCCGUGUGAACCGAGUGACAGGUAUCGUGCCCAUUAAUUCCCGAUUCGCGUCCGCGAGUGAAGAAACGAGCACGGAAACAAUGGGGAGACACCGGUGGUACUUUGGCCGUUUUAUCGACUCACCCGCCACACGACGUUCCUAUCACCGCUGUCAGAUGUCGGCAGCAUUGCAGGCACGCCGCUCGUCAACAAUCGAUGAUGGUUCGUGCCGCGCGAGUCGCGAGUGGUCGCGAGGCGUCCCGUAUAAUCGCGCGUUAACCGCUGCGUAAACGCGUUACGGUUUCCGCUGAAUUGUGCCCAUCGCGUAGUGUCGUCGAUCUCUCUUGGUGCGAUUCGGAGUCGUGUGUUAUGAGCCGGGAGGCGAAUUAUCGAGCCGUGCAAUCGUGAGAGAUUUCGCCACACGCGGCGCGUUCCUGUCACUUCACCCGCCAUCCCUCUCCUCCUCCCCCUCCCUCCCCUCCUCACCUUCCCACCCCUUUUCCGCCCGCUCUCCCUCGUUAUUUCGCGUCGCGCGGUUGUGCGUUUCGUCGUGUGUAUAACCGGCUCUAAUGCAACCGUGUCGCGAUUUUACCGCGUGAUCGUCGCGGAUUUUGAUCUCGCGUUCGCGGAAAACGCGAAUCUUCGACGUUCAUCAUAUCCGUCUGGAAAAGCUCCGUCAUCGGGGUGUCCGCCGAAAGGCGCCGAAGCUCCGUCGGUGGGGGAGGAAGAGGAGAAGGAGGUGGAGGUGGCUCGACAUCGUCAAGAGGGCUCGAGAGGGCGACCAACAGAGGAUACGGUUAACCGGGGAUGGCAGACCGCAGCAAAAUGUGAGUACUCUUUAUGCUGUAUCUAUUCGUGAACAAGCAACUUUGUGCAUGU